rnacentral:rRNA from 1 species
GACGAACGCUGGCGGCGUGCUUAACACAUGCAAGUCGAGCGGUAAGGCCCUUCGGGGUACACGAGCGGCGAACGGGUGAGUAACACGUGGGUGACCUGCCCCCAACUCUGGGAUAAGCCCGGGAAACUGGGUCUAAUACCGGAUAUGACCUCCGGUUGCAUGACUGGGGGUGGAAAGUUUUUCGGUUGGGGAUGGGCCCGCGGCCUAUCAGCUUGUUGGUGGGGUGAUGGCCUACCAAGGCGACGACGGGUAGCCGGCCUGAGAGGGCGACCGGCCACACUGGGACUGAGACACGGCCCAGACUCCUACGGGAGGCAGCAGUGGGGAAUAUUGCGCAAUGGGCGGAAGCCUGACGCAGCGACGCCGCGUGGGGGAUGACGGCCUUCGGGUUGUAAACCUCUUUCAGCAGGGAAGAAGCGAAAGUGACGGUACCUGCAGAAGAAGCACCGGCUAACUACGUGCCAGCAGCCGCGUAAAC